rnacentral:rRNA from 1 species
AUGAAUUUGUUAUGCUGGAAUUGCUGCUGGAUAGGCAACGCCCCGACAAUUCAAGAGCUGCGCGAAUUGGCGCAAAAGUUUGCCCCUAGAGUACUCUGCAUUGUGGAAACUCAAACUUCUGGAGUUAGGGCUGAAAAUUUAGCGAGUACUUUAGGUUAUGAUAACGCUUUUGUUGUUGAUUCCUGUUGGGGAACGUAG